GACAGCCAUGGGUGUUGGUGUUGAGGCAGUACCACCGCAUCAGCUCUUUAAUGGUCGGCGCCUGAGGGCCCGUCACGGGCAGAUUCUUCUUGAUUUUGGCUUUGAUCUUCUCUCCGGGUGCCAUGGCGAGGAUGGGACUUUGAGGACGGGACUCUGAGGACGGGCGUGCUGGAGGGGCAAAGAAGAGAAGCAGGGUCUGCCUCUGUCACCUUGGCUGGAGUGCAGUGCUGCAAUCAUAGCUCACUGUAGCUGCCAACUACUGGGCUCAAGCGAGCCUCCCACUUCAGCGUCUCAAAUAGCUGGAAUUACAGAGAAUGCAGGCUUCUCCAGAGCAGGCAUUUCUGCCUUUUGUUCACUGCUCUAUCCUCAAUCUGAAGAACAGUGCCUGGCACACAAUGGGAGCUCAACACAUAUUUUGUGAGUGAACAAAGGGAAGUUUUCUCCAUGUUGCCCAGGCUGCUCUGGAACUCCUGGGAUCAAGCAGUUGCCUGCCUUGGCCUCCCAAAGUGCUGGGAUUACAGACAUGAGCCAGCACACCCAGCCAGCUUUUUCAUAUGCUUAAAAAACUUCACAAUAAAAAGUUUAGAAAGUAAGAAGUAGAAUAACAUAUGUGGUAAUACGUGUAAUAUAAAUAUGUAUAAUGUAUAAAAUAUACUUUGUGGUAGUAUCAAUGACAUAAUAUGUACAUUUGUAGGUUUUUUAUUCAUUUACAGAUGAAGAUAAUCUGUUGCUCCAUGGUCAAAUCAAUAGCUAACCCGAUGAUUGAUUGAUCUUUUACAAUGUUUUUAAGCAUCUUUUGGUAAAUAAUCAAUUUAAAUUAGCAGGAGGGAAUUUUGCUAUUUGAACAGGUAUUAAUGGUUUAAGGACUGUCUGUUUUUAAAUACUUUGAAAUGUGCUUAAAUUUUGUUUAAUAAUAUGUUAAGCAAUAUUUAAAUAUUAAAAUUUUGCUCAAUAAUCACUAACCCCAGACAAAAAAAUUUCACCUCAUUGUUAACAAUUUUGUGUAUUCUUUUAGGCUUAAAAAUUAUUAUGUAAAUAUAGAAAACUACAUAUAUGACCUAAGUGGGCUUAUAUUUUUCUGUAAUUUUUUUUCACUUAACUAUAAAUUAUGGUAAUCUUUCCCUGUAAAUCCAUAAAGAGGUAUCUUAUUCUUUUUAACCAGCCUCACAGUGUUUCCAGUACUUCUUGGUCUAUAGAUAUUUUUCCUUAUCCCAUUUAGAUGGCAAGUUUUCAUGAAAAUGUGAUAUAAUUAUGCAAAAAACGUUUAAAGUUUAAAGUGAAAAGAGAAUCUUUGAAGAGAUUCCAGGUUUUCUCCAGACCAUGCUAAUCAGGUUUCCCCCCUCAAUUUAAUUCAAGAUAUUUCAUAGAAGCCUUCAAAUUUUAUUUUCUAAAACACUAGAUCAUGAUGUUAUUGGUGACCCUCUGGGGUUGGACAGGGUGCAAUCAAUUAAGAUUACAGUCAGCUCUGAGUAUUAGGAGCCCAGAUUAAUCGUGACUUAAACAACUAAGUCGGCUCAGGUGGAAAUUUAUAACUCUAAUGCAUAUUUUUUUUGUUUAUUUGUUUAUUUAUUUAUUUAUUUUUUAGAGGGAGUUUCACUCUUGUUGCCCAGCCUGGAGUGCAAUGGCACGAUCUCAGUUCUCUGGAACCUCUGUCUCCCGGGUUCAAGCAAUUCUUCUGCCUCAGCCUCCCAAGUAGCUGGGA
ensembl:lncRNA novel transcript